rnacentral:rRNA from 1 species
UACGUAGGGUGCGAGCGUUAAUCGGAAUUACUGGGCGUAAAGCGUGCGCAGGCGGUUUUGUAAGCCAGAUGUGAAAUCCCCGGGCUUAACCUGGGAAUGGCAUUUGGGACUGCAAGGCUUGAGUGCGGCAGAGGAGACUGGAAUUCAUGGUGUAGCAGUGAAAUGCGUAGAGAUCAUGAGGAAGACCAGUGGCGAAGGCGGGUCUCUGGACAGUUCCUGACACUGAGGCACGAAGGCCAGGGGAGCAAACGGG